rnacentral:sRNA from 1 species
UGCAACGCCUGUAUUUCGUUGCCAAUACUUUGGAGUUGGCCACCAACCACCAGCUGGAGUCCAAACCUAGUUUGGUUUUGGAACAACGGUUUGGGUGUUUGUGAACAAAGAACGCAAGAAAAUUUAGA